GGGCCCGCACAAGCGGUGGAGCAUGUGGUUUAAUUCGAUGAUACGCGAGGAACCUUACCAGGGCUUAAAUGGGAAAUGACAGGGGCAGAGACGCCCCCUUCUUCGGACAUUUUUCAAGGUGCUGCAUGGUUGUCGUCAGCUCGUGCCGUGAGGUGUCAGGUUAAGUCCUAUAACGAGCGCAACCCCUACCGUUAGUUGCCAGCGUGUAAUGACGGGGACUCUAACGGAACUGCCGGUGCAAACCGUGAGGAAGGUGGGGACGACGUCAAAUCAUCACGGCCCUUACGUCCUGGCCACACACGUGCUACAAUGGUAGGUACAGAGGGAAGCCACCCCGCGAGAAGAUGCU
rnacentral:rRNA from 1 species